rnacentral:rRNA from 1 species
AGAGUUUGAUCAUGGCUCAGGACGNACGCUGGCGGCGUGCUUUACCCAUGCAAGUCGAACGGUUGGGCCGGGCAANUGGCNUGACAGUGGCAGACGGCUGAGUAACACGUGAGUACCUGUCCAGUUGAGGGGGAUAGCCGCUCGAAAGAGCGGGUAAUACCGCGUAAGCUCGUNUCGAUCUGGUUUCGGCCAGGUCGAGGUGAGGAAAGCUAGGGGAGACCUUGGCGCAACUGGAGGGGCUNGCGGCCCAUCAGAUAGUAGGUGGGGUGAUGGCCCACCUAGCCGAUGGCGGGUAGCUGGUCUGAGAGGAUGGCCAGCCAGACUGGGACUGAGAGACGGCCCAGACUCCUACGGGGGGCAGCAGGGGGGGAUNUUGGUCAAUGGGGGAAACCCUGAACCAGCGACGCCGCGUGAGGGACGAAGGCCUUCGGGUCGUAAACNUUUUUUGCCAGGGCCGAUGA